ACAUUUCAGAAUAUCUGAAAGGUUUGUACGCGACGCGAAGCUUGUUAUUUGUAACAUGUUUGUGGACUUCACGUAUUUGACUGGCAGCGUAAAUUAAUUAUAUUAACAAUAUUCAUCCGAGCGAAGCGAGGGCGGGUCGCUAGUACAUAUGUACAUAUAUUAGAAGUGGUUGUGUGUGUGUACGUAUGGUCCCUAGAGACUCGGAAACUUCUGGACCGAUGUCGACGAAAUUUCGAGGUAAUCGUCAAAUUGGCCUAGCGAGUGAUCUUAUACAGUUCAAUGGCGAUUCGAUCAAGGUCAAAACAAAGAUCCAAUUUGACUAUCGAAACAUAAAGUUAUAAAAUUUUAAAGUUACUUAAAAUCAGGUGGAUGAAAGUGUGGACACAGGCUAGCUCUAACUAAAACUUUUUGUUAUCUUUGCAAAUUUUCGAACCAUGUAUUUGAUAAUCACGGUAUUGUUUUAACAUACGUGUUUGAUUUUGAAAUAUAUACAUGUCUUCCACGCACAUAUUGAACUAUCAUAGUAUCGUCACUGUGGAUAAAUAAAUCUUAAUCACCUAUUCA